ensembl:lncRNA
AUUAAUUGUAAAAUUGUUUGCUGUGGUGGAAAUGACACUUACUAGUCAGUCGUAAUUUACUUAAAAUGUAUAUUUUUCACACAAUAAUAUAUUGAAAUUCCAUUGUUUGUUUUGAUAAUGAUUUUAGGGCAUCUGUAAUUUAGUUAAUGAUAUUUAAAUGAUAAUUAAAACAAUAUUUGUAUAAUGGAUUCUCAGAGUUUAAAAAGUACUUUCAGAGUUUUAACAAAAAUCAAGUGUUCGUAGUUGAAGAAACGCCCAGUAAUGCUUGUGAUUUGCCAAUUCAUGUGUCUUUGAACUAUGAAGGUGAUCCAAGACAUCAUUGUAGCUUUAGGAUAAAGAGUUUUAUCCGGGAGGUUCUGUACAUACUGUUUUUAUUUUCAUUCCCCUCAGCUGGAAUCUUUUUUUUUUUUUUUUGGAUACACGUGAUUAAUCACCCUCGAACUUGCAUCUGUUCCUCUGCACACCUUCACCUGAAAUUCUGCAGUCAGAGUCCCUGAAUUGCAUCCAUCUUCCCUGUGCAAUUGGUUGACACAUUAUCUCAUUAAAAUGUACAAAGAAAACUCCUUCUCUUUAUCUGUGAUAAUCUAAUUAGCAUGAGGCAGAUGGUUUAAUAAGCGAUAUCUGCGCCGUUUAGCCUCCCAAACGCCCAGGUGGAGAACCGGGGAGCCUCCUCUGGAUGCCUUCUCUCUCCCUGCCUGUGAAUGGCUCUCUUGGGCUCAUAUUAUUGCUUCCUCUGCCUGAGGGUAGCAGCGCUCGUUUCUCUCCAGAUAUGAAUACAGAAGAAGAAGCUGAGGGAAUCAAGCAAGAUGAAACCCUAAUUAUUUUGCUUAUUAACCAAGCCUAACUAGUUAACAGAUGUUCAAAGGUUUGCACAGCGAAUUAAUGCAUUCUUUCCUUUUUUUCUUAAUUUCAGAUUGUUUGUCUUGUCUACAUGGUUAUCAGCGAUAAUGGCACUUGCCCGCGGGUGAAGAUCAAUAUCAUAUUAUGCAAUUGGCCCGUUCUCCUUACCAUUUCCUACCGGCUGAUAAUGAGACGACGAACCCGCUGCCCAGACGUGAACACUCAGAUGAAGUCCGGCCGACAGCCCAGCCAUGGCCACUACAUCCUGAAUCUAGGGAAAGAUCUGCUCAAUUACUUCCCCAACUUUCAGCUGAGGUCUUCUUACUGACCGGCUGAAAGGAUCUGUAAUGAGAGCGGAUUUAGAAUAAAAAGAUGUGCCCGUCUACA